UCAGGACAACGCUGGCGGCGUGCCUAACACAUGCAAGUCGAGCGCGAAAGGGACCUCGGGUCCCCUGAAAGCGGCGAACGGGUGAGUAACACGUGGGCAACCUGCCUCAAGGACUGGGAUAACUCCGGGAAACCGGGGCUAAUACCGGGCGAUGUCGUCUCGCGCAAGCGGGCCGACCAAAUGGUAGCUUCGGCCUCCGCCUUGAGAUGGGCCCGCGUCCUAUCAGCUUGUUGGUGAGGUAACGGCUCACCAAGGCUUCGACGGGUAGCUGGUCUGAGAGGAUGAUCAGCCACACUGGGACUGAGAUACGGCCCAGACUCCUACGGGAGGCAGCAGUGGGGAAUCUUGCGCAAUGGGCGAAAGCCUGACGCAGCAACGCCCGCGUGAGCGAAGAAGGCCUUCGGGUUGUAAAGCUCUGUCAGGGGGAAAGAAGGCACCUGGGUUAAUAGCCCAAGGGCUGACGGUACCCCCAAAGGAAGCCACGGCUAACUACGUGCCAGCCGCUGC
rnacentral:rRNA from 1 species